rnacentral:rRNA from 1 species
AAGAACCUUACCAAGGCUUGACAUAUACCGGAAAGCAUUAGAGAUAGUGCCCCCCUUGUGGUCGGUAUACAGGUGGUGCAUGGCUGUCGUCAGCUCGUGUCGUGAGAUGUUGGGUUAAGUCCCGCAACGAGCGCAACCCUUGUCCUGUGUUGCCAGCAUGCCCUUCGGGGUGAUGGGGACUCACAGGAGACCGCCGGGGUCAACUCGGAGGAAGGUGGGGACGACGUCAAGUCAUCAUGCCCCUUAUGUCUUGGGCUGCACACGUGCUACAAUGGCCGGUACAAAGAGCUGCGAUGCCGCGAGGCGGAGCGAAUCUCAAAAAGCCGGUCUCAGUUCGGAUUGGGGUCUGCAACUCGACCCCAUGAAGUCGGAGUUGCUAGUAAUCGCAGAUCAGCAUUGCUGCGGUGAAUACGUUCCCGGGCCUUGUACACACCGCCCGUCACGUCACGAAAGUCGGUAACACCCGAAGCCGGUGGCCCAACCCCUUGUGGGAGGGAGCUGUCGAAGGUGGGACC